rnacentral:rRNA from 1 species
GAUGAACGCUGGCGGCGUGCCUAAUACAUGCAGGUAGAACGCUGAAGGAAGGAGCUUGCUCUUUCCGGAUGAGUUGCGAACGGGUGAGUAACGCGUAGGUAACCUGCCUGGUAGCGGGGGAUAACUAUUGGAAACGAUAGCUAAUACCGCAUAACAGUAGAUGUUGCAUGAUAUCUACUUAAAAGGUGCAAUUGCACCACUACCAGAUGGACCUGCGUUGUAUUAGCUAGUUGGUGAGGUAACGGCUCACCAAGGCGACGAUACAUAGCCGACCUGAGAGGGUGAUCGGCCACGCUGGGACUGAGACACGGCCCAGACUCCUACGGGAGGCAGCAGUAGGGAAUCUUCGGCAAUGGACGGAAGUCUGGCCGAGCAACGCCGCGUGAGUGAAGAAGGUUUUCGGAUCGUAAAGCUCUGUUGUAAGAGAAGAACGAGUGUGAGAGUGGAAAGUUCACACUGUGACGGUAUCUUACCAGAAAGGGACGGCUAACUACGUG